rnacentral:rRNA from 1 species
UGAUCCUGGCUCAGGAUGAACGCUGGCGGUAUGCUUAACACAUGCAAGUCGAACGAAAUCUUUCGGGAUUUAGUGGCGGACGGGUGAGUAACGCGUGAGAAUCUGGCUUCAGGUCUGGGACAACCACUGGAAACGGUGGCUAAUACCGGAUGUGCCUUUCGGGGUGAAAGGUUAACUGCCUGAAGAUGAGCUCGCGUCUGAUUAGCUAGUAGGUGUGGUAAAGGCGCACCUAGGCGACGAUCCAGUAGCUGGUCUGAGAGGACGAUCAGCCACACUGGGACUGAGACACGGCCCAGACUCCUACGGGAGGCAGCAGUGGGGAAUUUUCCGCAAUGGGCGAAAGCCUGACGGAGCAAUACCGCGUGAGGGAGGAAGGCUCUUGGGUCGUAAACCUCUUUUCUCAGGGAAGAACACAAUGACGGUACCUGAGGAAUAAGCAUCGGCUAACUCCGUGCCAGCAGCCGCGGUAAUACGGAGGAUGCAAGCGUUAUCCGGAAUGAUUGGGCGUAAAGCGUCCGCAGGUGGCGAUGUAAGUCUGCUGUUAAAGAGUCUAGCUCAACUAGAUAAGAGCAGUGGAAACUACAUAGCUAGAGUACGUUCGGGGCAGAGGGAAUUCCUGGUGUAGCGGUGAAAUGCGUAGAGAUCAGGAAGAACACCAGUGGCGAAGGCGCUCUGCUAGGCCGUAACUGACACUGAGGGACGAAAGCUAGGGGAGCGAAUGGGAUUAGAUACCCCAGUAGUCCUAGCCGUAAACGAUGGAUACUAGGCGUGGCUUGUAUCGACCCGAGCCGUGCCGUAGCUAACGCGUUAAGUAUCCCGCCUGGGGAGUACGCCGGCAACGGUGAAACUCAAAGGAAUUGACGGGGGCCCGCACAAGCGGUGGAGUAUGUGGUUUAAUUCGAUGCAACGCGAAGAACCUUACCAAGGCUUGACAUGUCGCGAAUCUUGGCGAAAGUUGAGAGUGCCUUCGGGAGCGCGAACACAGGUGGUGCAUGGCUGUCGUCAGCUCGUGUCGUGAGAUGUUGGGUUAAGUCCCGCAACGAGCGCAACCCUCGUUUUUAGUUGCCAGCAUUAAGUUGGGCACUCUAGAGAGACUGCCGGUGACAAACCGGAGGAAGGUGGGGAUGACGUCAAGUCAGCAUGCCCCUUACGCCUUGGGCUACACACGUACUACAAUGCUCCGGACAGAGGGCAGCAAGCGGGCGACCGCAAGCAAAUCCCAUAAACCGGAGCUCAGUUCAGAUCGCAGGCUGCAACUCGCCUGCGUGAAGGAGGAAUCGCUAGUAAUUGCAGGUCAGCAUACUGCAGUGAAUUCGUUCCCGGGCCUUGUACACACCGCCCGUCACACCAUGGAAGCUGGUAGUGCCCGAAGUCAUUACUCCAACUGUUCGCAGAGGAGGAUGCCUAAGGCAGGACUGGUGACUGGGGUGAAGUCGUAACAAGGUAGCCGUACCGGAAGGUGUGGCUGGAUCACCUCCUUUUUAGGGAGACCUACACCCCUCAGAAAUCGAAGAACAUACAGUUAAAUAGAUACUGAGUUGGUCUAACCUUAGGUCGGUCGC